CUUGUCAUUUAGAGGAAGUAAAAGUCGUAACAAGGUUUCCGUAGGUGAACCUGCGGAAGGAUCAUUACAAGUGAGGCUACCGAACGUUGGAAACAGCGGUUAGGAGCUUACACCCACCCGUGUUUACAUACUAUUGUUGCUUUGGCGGGCCGUGGCCUCCACUGCGGGCUCUGCUCGUGUGUGCCCGCCAGAGAACCAAACUCUGAAUGUUAGUGAUGUCUGAGUACUAUCUAAUAGUUAAAACUUUCAACAACGGAUCUCUUGGUUCUGGCAUCGAUGAAGAACGCAGCGAAAUGCGAUAAGUAAUGUGAAUUGCAGAAUUCAGUGAAUCAUCGAAUCUUUGAACGCACAUUGCGCCCUGUGGUAUUCCGCAGGGCAUGCCUGUUCGAGCGUCAUCUAACCACUCACGCCUAGCGUGGUAUUGGGGCACGCGGUCUCCGCGGCCCUCAAAAUUAGUGGCGGCGCCGGUGGGCUCUAAGCGUAGUACAUACUCCCGCUAUAGAGUUCCCCCCGGUGGCUCGCCAGAACCCCCAAUUUUUUACAGGUUGACCUCGGAUCAGGUAGGGAUACCCGCUGAACUUAAGCAUAUCAAUAAGCGGAGGA
rnacentral:rRNA from 1 species